rnacentral:rRNA from 1 species
UACGGGGGGAGCAAGCGUUGUUCGGAUUUACUGGGCGUAAAGGGCGCGUAGGCGGCGCAACAAGUCACUUGUGAAAUCUCCGGGCUUAACCCGGAGCGGCCAAGUGAUACUGUCGUGCUAGAGUGCGGAAGGGGCUACUGGAAUUCUCGGUGUAGCGGUGAAAUGCGUAGAGAUCCGGAGGAACACCGACGGCGCAGGCAGCGUCCUGGCCGCUUGCUGACACUGAGGCACGAAAGCUGGGGGAGCAAACAGG